UCGUAAACUGGGGGCGUCAUAAACGGGGGAGAAUUCCCGGGAUAGGCAUCUUCCUGAUGCUCACUCUCUCAUACUUGAAAAAUCCAACACAGUGAAAACAGCAGCAGCAACAUCAAAACAAGUCCUCAGGAUCAGGAGGUUAAUAGGACUUACAUUUACUCAUUAACAAGCAGAUUCUCGAUUAAGUAAUUUUUAGAGGGCUGCUCUCCCGUGAGUAAAUGCAUGAAUGAAUGAGUGGAGUGAUUGAGGACCUGGUAUAAAGACUAUUCAUGAAGUACUUACUUCUCGGAGAGUGAUUUUUUGGACAGAGUUUUAAAAGCACUCAAGGCUGCAGGGUCUGGCUGUAUAUUCCAAGCUGGUCUUACACUUGCUAAGUAUCCCAGGCCAACCUCAAUUUUACCAAGUGCUGGGAUUAUAGCUGAUGGACUCUCCAUCCAAUAACGGGCACAGAAAGUCCGUCGUGCCACUUGUAAUUAGCUUUGGCAGCAAAGAACAUACUGAAGACCUGGUUGCCAUCUUUCUAAAAAAAAAAAAAAGUCUAGAUGGGCUUGGUGCACGCGCCUGUAA